rnacentral:snoRNA from 1 species
GCUGGUGACAUAACUUUUUUCCUUUAUCAGAUGGAUCCUGUUAAUAGAAUAAGCUAAUAGCCAGUUUUUCUAGC